UACGUAGGGACCGAGCGUUGUCCGGAAUCAUUGGGCGUAAAGAGCGCGUAGGCGGCCAAUUAAGUUCUGCGUGAAAUCUCGGGGCUCAACCGCGAGCGGUCGUGGGAAACUGGUUGGCUAGAGUGCGGGAGAGGAGAGUGGAAUUCCUGGUGUAGCGGUGAAAUGCGCAGAUAUCAGGAAGAACACCGGUGGCGAAGGCGGCUCUCUGGAACGCAACUGACGCUGAGGCGCGAAAGCGUGGGGAGCAAACAGG
rnacentral:rRNA from 1 species